UAGAGUGGCAUGAUGCGUUUCCAAUGCAAGAAUCAAGUGUUCUAACAAGUGCCUGAACUUCAAGGGCAGCAUCUCGUCCUAUGGUCAGCAUCUGUACAGUUCCACGUUCCUUUAAACAGUCAGCAAAUGAUGGUAACUGCAGUUUCUUCCCAAUUAGAAAAUCAUUAAGAUAAUCCAUGAUGAAGGAAUACAAAUGUGAUCUGG
rnacentral:misc_RNA from 1 species